CGUAGGCAGCGAGCGUUGUUCGGAGUUACUGGGCGUAAAGGGUGUGUAGGCGGUUGUUUAAGUUUGGUGUGAAAUCUCCCGGCUCAACUGGGAGGGUGCGCCGAAUACUGAAUGACUAGAGUGCGGGAGAGGUGAGUGGAAUUCCUGGUGUAGCGGUGAAAUGCGUAGAUAUCAGGAGGAACACCGGUGGUGUAGACGGCUCACUGGACCGUAACUGACGCUGAGACACGAAAGCGUGGGUAGCAAACAGGAUUAGAUACCCUGGUAGUCCACGCCCUAAACGAUGCAUAUUUGGUGUGGGCAGUUCAUUCUGUCCGUGCCGGAGCUAACGCGUUAAAUAUGCCGCCUGGGGAUACAGUCGCAAGGCUAG
rnacentral:rRNA from 1 species